AAUCAACGCUGGCGGCGUGCCUAACACAUGCAAGUCGCACGAGAAAGGGACUUCGGUCCUGAGUACAGUGGCGCACGGGUGAGUAACACGUGAAUAAUCUACCUCCGAGUGGGGAAUAACUGAGAGAAAUCUUAGCUAAUACCGCAUAACACUUACGAGUCAAAGCAGCAAUGCGCUUGGAGAGGAGUUCGCGGCAGAUUAGUUAGUUGGCAGGGUAAUGG
rnacentral:rRNA from 1 species